CCUACGGGUGGCUGCAGUGGGGAAUUUUGGACAAUGGGCGCAAGCCUGAUCCAGCAAUGCCGCGUGAGUGAAGAAGGCCUUCGGGUUGUAAAGCUCUUUUGUCAGGGAAGAAACGGCUGCGGAUAAUACCUGUGGCUAAUGACGGUACCUGAAGAAUAAGCACCGGCUAACUACGUGCCAGCAGCCGCGGUAAUACGUAGGGUGCAAGCGUUAAUCGGAAUUACUGGGCGUAAAGCGUGCGCAGGCGGUUUUGUAAGUCUGACGUGAAAGCCCCG
rnacentral:rRNA from 1 species